AUGGGAGACGAGGACAUGGCGGCCUUCUUCGCCGCGCUGAUGCAGAUGAAGGACGCCGUCUCCGAUCGCGCCAACCAGGUUCUCCUCGAGGCGAUGCACGCCCACAUGAGCCGCAUGGCGGAGGUGGCCCCCCCGCCGCCGCCGCCCCGGAUCUUCGGUGGCAGCACCUUCGAGUAUGGUAGCAGCAGCGGCACCGCCAACAACGGGAUGGAGUUGCAGUUUCUGGCGCCUCCGUCAGAGGAGCAGGGGUUCGAGGCCGCGAUGGAUAUGCAGCAGAUGGUGAUGGCGCCGCUGCCUCCGUCUCAGGUGGUCGCCGCCGGGAUGGAUGUGCAGGACAUGCCUCCGCCGCCGGGGUUGGCCGCCGGGAUGGAUCUGGAGCAGAUGCAGAUGACGAUGCCUAAGCCGCCGGGGUCCGACGAAGGGCUAGACAAGGAGAUAGACCAAUGGCUUGAUGUGAUGCUGCCGCCAGCGGAGAUCCCUGCCGGGACGAAGACGGUGCAGCAGGGGCUCCAUCAACCGAACGCCGGCUUCCCGUACUGA
rnacentral:rRNA from 1 species